CAUUUGUUCUCUAAAUAAGGACUUGUAUGAACGGCAACACGAGAGUUUUACUGUCUCUUACUUCCAAUCAGUGAAAUUGACCUCCCCGUGAAGAGGCGGGGAUAUAUUAACAAGACGAGAAGACCCUAUGGAGCUUUAACUAACUAACCCAAAGAAAACACUCUCAACCAUCAAGGGAUAAUAACACUCUUUAUGGGCUAGCAGUUUUGGUUGGGGCGACCUCGGAGAACAAAAAAUCCUCCGAACGAUUUUAAAGGCUAGACCUACAAGUCAAACCAAAUUAUCGCUUAUUGAUCCAAAAAUUUGAUCAACGGAACAAGUUACCCUAGGGAUAACAGCGCA
rnacentral:rRNA from 1 species